UGAAAACUGGCCAGUUUAGUAAGUGUGACAAAAAAAGCAGAUAUUUCAGUUUCCUUAUAGAAGUAAAAUAAGGAUAAUAAAACCUUGUCAGAAUCAUUGUGAAUAUCAUAAAUAAUGUAUGUAAAUUUCUUGGCACCAUUUAGUAGUCAAUAUAUUGUAAUUCUUACAUUAUUUAGGGGAAAGAGUUCUCUAAAGUGCAGAAAGAAACAAGAAUUUUUGUUGAAUAUUUAGCAAACAUACAAACACAAUGAAGAAGUAGGGAGAAUAAUAAGGACUAAAGGAAGGAGAAAGAGGAGAUAAAAGAAAAAAGGAGAAGGCCAACUAUCGUUUUCCAAUUGCCUAAGUCAUAGAUCGUGAACAACAAAGGAUGCAUUAUUUUCCUGUCUCCUUGAAGGAUGCUUGAAAUUCAAUGAGUUCUUCUUUUCCCACUGUUCGUAUGUGUUCAUGAAGGUGGAUUAUCAAGUAAAAGUAGAGGUAAAAUGGCAUUUCUGGAAUUGCAUAUAGGAUGCUGGAAAACCAAAUCACAGGAGAGAAGAUCUUCUGUUACUGAAGUCGCUGUGAUUUGAUUCUGCACUUGCCCAUAAUUGUUUCUUUAUGAGGAAAUUAGUUAUACAAUAUUUAAAAGUUUAUGUUGUGAAACCAUACGGUAAUAAAACAUGGGCCUAACAUGACAGUUUUUGGCUGUGGGAGGGAGUCGCAAGCCAAGGACAUUGAGACAAUCUAGUCUGGUGACGGUGUAGAUAUCCAUGGCACUUGUCACUUAAACAGUCAUGGGAAACCACUCCUUUCAACACAAAGACAAGGUAGAGUGAGCACGCCUAGGUCCUGGAGCACAACUAGGGUCAGGUUUCAAACCUGCCCUUGCAGAAAACCACACUUUGAUAAAAUAACUUAAUCUCACUGAUCCUCCUCUUCACCUAUGAAGUUUUACUAACAAUGCCAACCUUACAUGAUAGUAAUGGGGAUUAAAUGGUAUAGUAAUGCAUGAAUAAAUUAAGCACUAGCUACCUGCUCAAGAUUCUAUGUUAAGUUCAAUAGGACAUAUAUGCACAAGUAAAACAAACACAUUAAAACACAUUAUCAGGCUGGGCACAGUGGCUCACACCUGUAAUCCCAGAACUUUAGGAGGCUGAACCGGAUGGAUCACCUGACGUCAGGAGUUCCAGACCGGCCUGGCCAACAUAGCAAAACCGCAUCUUUACUAAAAACACAAAAAUGAGCCAGGCAUGGUGGUGCAGAGGCUGAGGCAGGAGGAUCGCUUGAACCUUGGAGGCAGACGUUGCAGUGAGCAGAGAUCACGCCACUGCACUCCAGCCUGGGUGCAGAGUGAGAUUCUGUCUCUAAAAAAAAAAAAAAAAAAAAAAAAAAAAAAAAAAAAUUAUCUGCCCAGAGCAGGGAGGUGCAAGACAUCUACCUAUACAUACAUGCACAUAAAUGAAAGCUAAAUAGCAUUUUGAAAGUCAAUAAUAGGAGGGAGGAGGAAUGAAAACUAAUUCUAAAAGAGGAAGUAUUGUGAGGCUUGAUUUCUUUGAGGCAUGGUGUAGUUUGAUUGAAAUAUUGAUCCAUAUGCUGCUGAAGUGGGAUGAUACUGUGAAGGGCCUUGAAUACCAACAGAAGCACUGGGCUUUACUGGCUAGAGAAUCUAAAAUGACUAUAGACUUUGAGUAUAGGUAGUGGGCACCAUGACUAGAACUAGACUUUAGGAAGAAUAAGAAUGAAAUUCACAAAGAAUGGAUUCAGCUAGGAGAGGAAAUUAAGGAGGCAACCUAUGUCAGAAAGGAGGCCAGCAGAAUUUGUUUACAUGAUGAACACCUCCCAGGAUUUCCCAGGGAACUUUUAAUCUUGUCUCCCAAGGACAAAGGGUGAGUAAUUCUUUUUUAUUUUAUUUUAUUUUUUUGAGAAAGGGUCUCAUUCUGUCGCCUAGACUGGAGUGCAGUGGCAUGAUGUCAGCUCACUACAACCUCCAUCUCCCAGGCUCAAGUGAUUCUCCUGCCUCAGCCUCCUGAGUAGCUGAGAUGAUAGGUGUAAUUCUUCCUGAGUCAACACAUAUCCAUUUGCUCUGAAAGACAGUACAAAUCUUUAAAAAAGUGCUGAAUGAAUUUAAACCUAAAGGAGGAAUGAGAGAUGAGGAAGAGGUACUUGUAGAAAUCUCCAAAAGUAUUUCUGAACCGAAGAAAAAUUAAAACAUGCAGCUAUAGGUGUAAAGUCGCCUGCUAUAUGGACUUUAAAUUUUAAGUUGUAUGAAAUAUUUUAAUCAUCUAUGUCUGAGGUCUAACUUUUCUCACCACUUGAGAUUUAUCUGCACAUUUUCUAAUACUUCUGAAUCAUUUUCCCUGAAAGAAUCAUCACUGCAUAUGAGGCUGCCAUCAGGAGAAUUGCCCAGUUGUGUUUUCAGAGCUGAGUCCUCAUUUCUCUUGGAAAUGAGCCCAUUAAGAGAGACAAGGAUGGUCCUUUAGCCUUUCUGAGGAUUUGGAUACCAGGAAAAUCGGAGUUUCUGCGCAACCCGAAAUUCCACACAGAAUGUACGUGUGUGCUCUGCAUUUUCCAGGGAGAAGAUUCUUAGCUCUCAGCUUUCAAUCACCUUCGUAUUUGGGCAUUUGAACAAAAACUUGACAACCUCCGUCAACGGAUGUAAUGUCAACCUGGGAGAAUAUGAUGUCAACAACAAAAAUACCUUCAUUUAAUGUCUUUUAAAAAUGUUACUUGAGUUUUCGGAUGUGUGUUUUGUUCUGUUCUCUUCUGCAAGCCAAAUGGUUACAUGAUUUUGGUUUCUAAACACAAGAUGUGAUUCCCUUUCUAUCAUACUCAAGUUUUUGGGGCAAGCACUUCACUCAGAAUGCCUUUCUCUAGACAUUAAUUAAGAAAGGAUACGACCAUCCAUAUUCACACCUGUAAUCCAGAUGUUGCUGAGCGUACCGCUGCCUCCACGGUAGUUCACACAUCACUGCCACAUUGAGAGUUCGUAAUUCAUUAUGCUGUGAGUGUUUAAAA
rnacentral:lncRNA from 1 species